rnacentral:rRNA from 1 species
GAUGAACGCUGGCGGCGUGCCUAAUACAUGCAAGUCGAGCGAACAGACGAGGAGCUUGCUCCUCUGACGUUAGCGGCGGACGGGUGAGUAACACGUGGAUAACCUACCUAUAAGACUGGGAUAAUUUCGGGAAACCGGAGCUAAUACCGGAUAAUAUAUUGAACCGCAUGGUUCAAUAGUGAAAGACGGUUUUGCUGUCACUUAUAGAUGGAUCCGCGCCGCAUUAGCUAGUUGGUAAGGUAACGGCUUACCAAGGCAACGAUGCGUAGCCGACCUGAGAGGGUGAUCGGCCACACUGGAACUGAGACACGGUCCAGACUCCUACGGGAGGCAGCAGUAGGGAAUCUUCCGCAAUGGGCGAAAGCCUGACGGAGCAACGCCGCGUGAGUGAUGAAGGUCUUCGGAUCGUAAAACUCUGUUAUUAGGGAAGAACAAAUGUGUAAGUAACUAUGCACGUCUUGACGGUACCUAAUCAGAAAGCCACGGCUAACUACG